rnacentral:rRNA from 1 species
UACGUAGGGUGCAAGCGUUGUCCGGAAUUAUUGGGCGUAAAGAGCUCGUAGGCGGUUUGUCGCGUCUGCUGUGAAAACCUAAGGCUCAACCUUGGGCUUGCAGUGGGUACGGGCAGACUAGAGUGCGGUAGGGGUGACUGGAAUUCCUGGUGUAGCGGUGGAAUGCGCAGAUAUCAGGAGGAACACCGAUGGCGAAGGCAGGUCACUGGGCCGCAACUGACGCUGGAGG